UGGCUCAGAACGAACGCUGGCGGCGUGCUUAACACAUGCAAGUCGAACGAGAACGGGAUAUAGCUUGCUAUAUUUGUCAGCUAAGUGGCGCACGGGUGAGUAAUGUAUAGAUAACCUGCCCUCUAGAGAGGAAUAACAGUUGGAAACGACUGCUAAUGCCCUAUAUGCCUUUAAUACAUAAGUAUGCAAGGGAAACGCUUUAGUGCUAGAGGAUGGGUCUGUAUGGUAUCAGCUUGUUGGUGAGGUAAUGGCUCAGGAAAAAUAUGACGCCUAACUGGUUUGAGAGGAUGGUCAGUCACAUUGUCUCUGAGACACGGACCAGACUCCUACG
rnacentral:rRNA from 1 species